CCUACGGGAGGCAGCAGUGAGGAAUAUUGGUCAAUGGGCGGAAGCCUGAACCAGCCAAGUAGCGUGCAGGAUGACGGCCCUACGGGUUGUAAACUGCUUUUAUCCGGGAAUAACGCGCCUUACGUGUAGGCCUUUGCAUGUACCGUAUGAAUAAGGCCUGGCCAAUUCCGUGCCCCCAGCCCGGGGUAUCAGGGAGGUCCGGAGGUUUUCCGGUUUUUUUGGGUUUAAAGGGGGCGUAGGGCGGAUUUCAAGCGUGGCGGGAAAUGUCCGGGUUCAACCGGGGCCUUGCAGCGGAAACUGGCGUGCUUGAGUGCGCGGGAAGCAGGCGGAAUGCGUGGUGUAGCGGUGAAAUGCUUAGAUAUGACGAAGAACCCCGAUUGCGAAGGCAGCUUGCUGCAGCGGAACUGACGCUGAUGCUCGAAAGCGCGGGUAUCGAACAGGAUUAGAUACCCUGGUAGUC
rnacentral:rRNA from 1 species